rnacentral:rRNA from 1 species
AACGUAGGUGGCGAGCGUUAUCCGGAAUUACUGGGCGUAAAGCGUGCGCAGGCGGUUCGUUGUGUCGGUGGUGAAAGCCCCGGGCUUAACCUGGGAAUGGCCAUGGAAACUGGCGAACUGGAGUGUGGCAGAGGGGGGUGGAAUUCCGCGUGUAGCAGUGAAAUUCGUAGAUAUUCGGAAGAACACCAGUGGCGAAGGCGGCUCACUGGACCGGCAUUGACGCUGAGGUGCGAAAGCGUGGGGAGCAAACAGG